AACGAACGCUGGCGGCAGGCCUAACACAUGCAAGUCGAACGAUGUAGCAAUACAUAGUGGCGCACGGGUGAGUAACGCGUGGGAAUGUACCAUUUGGUGGGGAAUAACUCCGGGAAACUGGAGCUAAUACCGCAUACGCCCUUCGGGGGAAAGAUUUAUCGCCAAAUGAUCAGCCCGCGUGAGAUUAGAUAGUUGGUGGGGUAAUGGCCUACCAAGUCCACGAUCUCUAGCUGGUCUCAGAGGAUGAUCAGCCACACUGGAACUGGGACACGGUCCAGACUCCUACGGGAGGCAGCAGUGGGGAAUACUGGGCAAUGGGCGCAAGCCUGACCCAGCCAUGCCGCGUGAGUGAUGAAGGCUCUAGGGUUGUAAAGCUCUUUCGCCGAUGAAGAUAAUGACGGUAGUCGGAGAAGAAGCCCCGGCUAACUUCGUGCCAGCAGCCGCGGUAA
rnacentral:rRNA from 1 species